CAAGGAUCCUGGGACAGAGACUUAGAGAACAUAAGAGAGAUAUAGCAAAGGCAAAUCUGAACAUUGCUCUAGCAACUGAAGCAUAUGGUGCAAAGCUCCUGAGUGGAUUGGCAUAGUGCUGGAAUUGUGAAGCCCAUUAUCAACGAAUCACAAGCCUUAAUAAAAACUGAAAUGAUGGAAAUAGCCGGGAGACGGAUUGAGAGGCUUGUGAAUGAUGGAUUAGUAAUUGACCUGCCACCGGCAUGGAGGUGCGUGCUGGGAAUUACAGGCCAAUGAGAAAGACAGAUCAUUGCAUGCUUGCGAGGAGCCCGCAAUAUGUGCUGUAUGCAAUUUUGGUGUGGCUGACUCCAGAAUGCUGCAGCCUACCUCUUAUAGACUAUUUAUAUGUUGUAUGUCUUAAUAACAGUUUCGGCUCUGGGAGCGGGGAAGGUAGAAUCUUCUUCAGGGUUCAAAAGUGUAGAGGAGACUUUAUUCAUUAAGGC
rnacentral:lncRNA from 1 species